rnacentral:rRNA from 1 species
UACGUAGGGUGCAAGCGUUGUCCGGAAUUAUUGGGCGUAAAGAGCUCGUAGGCGGUUUGUCGCGUCUGCUGUGAAAACCCAGGGCUUAACCCUGGGCCUGCAGUGGGUACGGGCAAACUAGAGUGCGGUAGGGGAGAUCGGAAUUCCUGGUGUAGCGGUGAAAUGCGCAGAUAUCAGGAGGAACACCGGUGGCGAAGGCGGAUCUCUGGGCCGUAACUGACACUCAAGUACGAAAGCGUGGGGAGCAAACAGG